rnacentral:misc_RNA from 1 species
AAUAUGCCUGUGCAGACUUUCAAACAUACACUGUACCCGAACAUUUGCCUUGCCAAACCACAUCAUUUUGUUUCUCAUUUUUCAUUUUCUCAAUGACUUCAGUUCCUAGGCCUGCCAUUGGCAACUCAGUCCUCCAACUUUCUCUUUUAGAAUUACCGCUGGAUUGUAAUUUAUCCACAACCUUCUGCUUCUCAGAAUCGAUUCG